CAAAAUGACUCUCGGCAACGGAUAUCUCGGCUCUCGCAUCGAUGAAGAACGUAGCGAAAUGCGAUACUUGGUGUGAAUUGCAGAAUCCAGUGAACCAUCGAGUCUUUGAACGCAAGUUGCGCCCGAAGCCUUCGGGCUAAGGGCACGUCUGCUUGGG
rnacentral:rRNA from 1 species